rnacentral:lncRNA from 1 species
GGAUUGGUAAACAUCCGAGCAAAGGGUCGGACAGAAGUCGAUGAGAUAAAGUUACUUCACCUUGAUCUCUUGGAUCUCUCCCUAGUGUUCCAAUCUUGUUGAGUCAUCGGUGAGUAUUUGGUCAAGACCCAAAGAGGAGAAGGUCAAAUUGGAUGGUGGAUGACCUUCACAAUACUUGCCCCCCACUCUCGAGUUCAAAGUAGUUUCAUUGCUUUAGACAAGGAAAGUAGUCAGUCUUGAGGUUGGUC